rnacentral:rRNA from 1 species
AUUGAACGCUGGCGGCAUGCUUUACACAUGCAAGUCGAACGGUAACAGGCCUUCGGGUGCUGACGAGUGGCGAACGGGUGAGUAAUGCAUCGGAACGUGCCCAAUCGUGGGGGAUAACGUAGCGAAAGUUACGCUAAUACCGCAUAAGCCCUGAGGGGGGAAAGUGGGGGACCGCAAGGCCUCACGCGAAUGGAGCGGCCGAUGUCAGAUUAGCUAGUGGUGGGGUAAAGCCCACCAAGGCGACGAUCUGUAGCGGGUCUGAGAGGAUGAUCCGCCACACUGGGACUGAGACACGGCCCAGACUCCUACGGGAGGCAGCAGUGGGGAAUUUUGGACAAUGGGCGCAAGCCUGAUCCAGCCAUGCCGCGUGCGGGACGAAGGCCU